UAACUUCAUUCCCUUUCUAUAUAUAGUGGCUCGUUCAUUCGUGGAGUUCUCACUUCAAUCUUGUAAAUCCUUCUUAUUUCUACACCUUUCUCGUCACUAAGUGCUCAAUCCAGAAGAGGGUUCUUUUGCUGUUGCGCUCUCUUGGUUGUAGCUCUUUUCAUGGGUCAUUUCUCCGAUGGACAUGGCAUUGGGGAUAUCUAUCAUUUGAUGGCAACGCGAUGGCCACAAUGGAUUGUAGCAACUGUGAUUUAAUUGAUUAAAUGUUCAGAAAAUAGAAAUAAUGGAUGGAAUUGUGAGAACCAUCCAAAGUCAUGCCAAAAUGGACUAAUGAUGAUCGUGAUAAAUUAAGGAAGAAUAUUAUCAUACAAAUGCUCCUAUGCCUACAAAAUGAUUGCCGAACUAAUAUUUUGGAUCUAGCAAAGAGUUAUCAAUUCACAAAGAUUGCCAAUAAAAAGGAAAGAAAUAAAAAUGAAAAGAAAGCUUUGGAUACCCCAAAGGAGGCAAAAGCACCGUGACAAAGAAAACUAGGAGCCUCCUAAGUUAGUCCAUAUGCAAAUGUUGGGACGGGAACCUUAGAAGGAAUAAUUGGAUAUGAAAGAAGAAAAG